rnacentral:rRNA from 1 species
GCAAGUCGAACGGUAACAGAACUACCUUGCUAGUUGCUGACGAGUGGCGGACGGGUGAGUAAUGCUUGGGAAUUUGCCUUUAGGUGGGGGACAACAGUUGGAAACGACUUCUAAUACCGCAUGAUAGCUACGGCUAAAAGGGGGCUUUGGCUCCCGCCAUUAGAGAAGCCCAAGUGGGAUUAGGUAGUUGGUGAGGUAAAGGCUCACCAAGCCGACGAUCCCUAGCUGGUCUGAGAGGAUGAUC